rnacentral:lncRNA from 1 species
ACUUGCUAUAACAAAAUCGAUAGGGGUGUCUUCUGUGAAAACCUCCUCCAUACGGACAUACUUCCCCACAUAGACAAGCAUAUCUGAAAAGUCUCAAAGAUAAGUUUUUAUUAAUGACUUUUUAAGGUUGUUCUUCAAUAGGCCACCCAUCAUUAUGGCCAUCACAGUCGAUCAGUCCAGGUUGCGGACUUUCAGGAUCGCUG